rnacentral:rRNA from 1 species
AUUGAACGCUGGCGGCAUGCUUUACACAUGCAAGUCGAACGGUUACAGGCCUUCGGGUGCUGACGUGUGGCGAACGGGUGUGUAAUGCAUCUGAACGUAUCCCUAGUUGGGGGGUAACGCAGCGAAAGCUGUGCUAAUACCCCAUGUGCUCUGUGGAUGAAAGCGUGGGACCGCUCCGCAAUGUUUGGCCUCGCGCCUUUGGAGCUGCCGAUGUCGGAUUAGCUAGUUGGUGGGGUAAAGGCCUACCAAGGCGACGAUCCGUAGCUGGUCUGAGAGGACGACCAGCCACACUGGGACUGAGACACGGCCCAGACUCCUACGGGAGGCAGCAGUGGGGAAUAUUGGACAAUGGGCGAAAGCCUGAUCCAGCAAUGCCGCGUGUGUGAAGAAGGCCUUCGGGUUGUAAAGCGCUUUAGGCAGGGAGGAAACGGUGUAAGUUAAUACCGGGCGCUAAUGACGGUACCAGCAGAAUAAGCACCGGCUAACUACGUG